rnacentral:rRNA from 1 species
AACGAACGCUGGCGGCAUGCCUAACACAUGCAAGUCGAACGAGACCUUCGGGUCUAGUGGCGCACGGGUGCGUAACGCGUGGGAACCUGCCCUUGGGUCGGGAAAAACCCCCCGAAGGGGGUGCAAUACCCGGUAAUGUUUUCGGGCCAAAGAUUUAUCGCCUUUGGAUGGGCCCGCGUUGGAUUAGCUAGUUGGUAGGGUAAAAGCCUACCAAGGCGACGAUCCAUAGCUGGUCUGAGAGGAUGAUCAGCCACACUGGGACUGAGACACGGCCCAGACUCCUACGGGAGGCAGCAGUGGGGAAUAUUGGACAAUGGGCGAAAGCCUGAUCCAGCAAUGCCGCGUGAGUGAUGAAGGCCUUAGGGUUGUAAAGCUCUUUUACCCGGGAUGAUAAUGACAGUACCGGGAGAAUAAGCUCCGGCUAACUCCGUG